rnacentral:rRNA from 1 species
CCUACGGGAGGCAGCAGUGGGGAAUAUUGCACAAUGGGGGAAACCCUGAUGCAGCGACGCCGCGUGAGUGAAGAAGUAUUUCGGUAGGUAAAGCUCUAUCAGCAGGGAAGAAGAAAGACGGUACCCGACUAAGAAGCCCCGGCUAACUACGUGCCAGCAGCCGCGGUAAUACGUAGGGGGCAAGCGUUAUCCGGAUUUACAGGGUGUAAAGGGAGAGUAGACGGCUGUGCAAGUCUGAAGUGAAAGCCCAGGGCUCAACCCUGGGACUGCUUUGGAAACUGUGGAGCUAGAGUGCUGGAGAGGUAAGUGGAAUUCCUAGUGUAGCGGUGAAAUGCGUAGAUAUUAGGAGGAACACCAGUGGCGAAGGCGGCUUACUGGACAGUAACUGACGUUGAGGCUCGAAAGCGUGGGGAGCAAACAGGAUUAGAUACCCCGGUAGUC